ensembl:lncRNA
GAACAUCAAAAGGAAGUUCAGUCUCAGAAAAGUUACAGACAGGAAUGUAUAGGACCAGAGUGCAGACAACUACUGACCCAAUGAAGUCACCUGGAAUUGCUUCACUGCUUACGGUAUCCUUUUUCCAGAAGACACUGGACAAACUGAGCUGUUGCACUGGAGUGGAAGGACACCACUGGCUCCAAGUGGUACAAUCUGUGGAGACUCAGUGCUUCAAAAAGUGAAGUCCAAAAAGCUCAAUGAUGACCAUUGCUUUCUUCACUGUGGACCUUCAGAUGUUUAAAAUGCUGUGCCCACAGCCAUCAUCCUGCACCCCACUAAUAGCAGCCUGGGCCAGGGCCUCUAAUCCCAGAGGGAGUGUACUGAGAACUAUACUGCUGUGUGCACCGUGACCCAAGAGUGACAAGGAUGUGAAUCCUGUGCAUAGCUGACC